GACGAACGCUGGUGGCGUGCUUAACACAUGCAAGUCGAACGGGAUUUAGUAAACAGCAGCCUCGGUGGAAGAUUACUAAUGAGAGUGGCGAACGGGUGAGUAACGCGUGAGCAACCUGCCUAUGACAGUGGGAUAGCCUCGGGAAACCGGGAUUAAUACCGCAUAAAAUCGUAGAAACACAUGUUUUAACGGUCAAAGAUUUAUCGGUCAUAGAUGGGCUCGCGUCUGAUUAGCUAGUUGGUGAGAUAACAGCCCACCAAGGCGACGAUCAGUAGCCGGUCUGAGAGGAUGAACGGCCACAUUGGAACUGAGACACGGUCCAAACUCCUACGGGAGGCAGCAGUGGGGAAUAUUGCACAAUGGGGGAAACCCUGAUGCAGCGACGCCGCGUGAACGAAGAAGGUAUUCGUAUCGUAAAGUUCUGUCCUAUGGGAAGAUAAUGACAGUACCAUAGAAGAAAGCUCCGGCUAAAUACGUG
rnacentral:rRNA from 1 species